GAACGAACGCUGGCGGCAGGCCUAACACAUGCAAGUCGAGCGCCCCGCAAGGGGAGCGGCGGACGGGUGAGUAACGCGUGGGAAUAUGCCCUUUGCUACGGAAUAGUCUCGGGAAACUGGGGGUAAUACCGUAUACGCCCUUUGGGGGAAAGAUUUAUCGGCGAAGGAUUAGCCCGCGUUGGAUUAGGUAGUUGGUGGGGUAAUGGCCUACCAAGCCGACGAUCCAUAGCUGGUUUGAGAGGAUGAUCAGCCACACUGGGACUGAGACACGGCCCAGACUCCUACGGGAGGCAGCAGUGGGGAAUCUUAGACAAUGGGGGCAACCCUGAUCUAGCCAUGCCGCGUGAGUGAUGAAGGCCUUAGGGUUGUAAAGCUCUUUCAGCUGGGAAGAUAAUGACGGUACCAGCAGAAGAAGCCCCGGCUAACUCCGUG
rnacentral:rRNA from 1 species